GAUGAACGCUGGCGGCGUGCCUAAUACAUGCAAGUCGAGCGAACGGACGAGAAGCUUGCUUCUCUGAUGUUAGCGGCGGACGGGUGAGUAACACGUGGAUAACCUACCUAUAAGACUGGGAUAACUUCGGGAAACCGGAGCUAAUACCGGAUAAUAUUUUGAACCGCAUGGUUCAAAAGUGAAGGACGGUCUUGCUGUCACUUAUAGAUGGAUCCGCGCUGCAUUAGCUAGUUGGUAAGGUAACGGCUUACCAAGGCAACGAUGCAUAGCCGACCUGAGAGGGUGAUCGGCCACACUGGAACUGAGACACGGUCCAGACUCCUACGGGAGGCAGCAGUAGGGAAUCUUCCGCAAUGGGCGAAAGCCUGACGGAGCAACGCCGCGUGAGUGAUGAAGGUCUUCGGAUCGUAAAACUCUGUUAUUAGGGAAGAACAUAAGUGUAAGUAACUGUGCACAUCUUGACGGUACCUAAUCAGAAAGCCACGGCUAACUACGUG
rnacentral:rRNA from 1 species